AUUGAACGCUGGCGGCAGGCCUAACACAUGCAAGUCGAACGAGCGGCGGACGGGUGAGUAAUGUCUGGGAAACUGCCCGAUGGAGGGGGAUAACUACUGGAAACGGUAGCUAAUACCGCAUACCAUCAGAUGUGCCCAGAUGGGAUUAGCUAGUAGGUGGGGUAAUGGCUCACCUAGGCGACGAUCCCUAGCUGGUCUGAGAGGAGGACCAGCGACACUGAAACUGAGACAAGGUCCAGACUCCUACGGGAGGCAGAAGUAGGGAAUAUUGCAAAAUGGGCGCAAGCCUGAUGCAGCCAUGCAGCGUGAAUGAAGAAGGCCUUAGGGUUGUAAAGGACUUGCAGGAGAGAGGCGUUACCCGCAAAAGAAGCACCGGCUAACUCCGUGCCAGCAGCCGCGGUAAUUC
rnacentral:rRNA from 1 species